rnacentral:rRNA from 1 species
GUCAAGAAUAUUCCGCAAUGGACGAAAGUCUGACGGAGCGACGCCGCGUGCAGGAAGAAGCCCUUCGGGGUGUAAACUGCUUUUAUAUGGGAAGAAUUCGUGACGGUACCAUAUGAAUAAGAGGUUGCUAACUCUGUGCCAGCAGCAGCGGUAAUACAGAGACCUCAAACGUUAUCCGGAUUCAUUGGGCGUAAAGCGUCCGCAGGUGGUUUGUAAAGUUAAUGGUUAAAUCCCGGAGCUUAACUUCAGGACUGCUGUUAAAACUCACAGACUCGAGGUUGGGAGAGGCAAGCGGAAUUCUCGGUGUAGUCGUAAUAAGCGCUGAUAUCGAGAAGAACACCAAAGGCAAAGGCAGCUUGCUAGAACAUACCUGACACUCAUGGACGAAAGCGUGGGUAGCGAAUGGGAUUAGAUACCCGGGUAGUCC